rnacentral:rRNA from 1 species
AACGAACGCUGGCGGCAGGCUUAACACAUGCAAGUCGAACGCAUCCUUCGGGGUGAGUGGCAGACGGGUGAGUAACGCGUGGGAACGUGCCCUUCAGUUCGGGAUAACCCAGGGAAACUUGGGCUAAUACGGGAUACGUGCGAGAGCAGAAAGAUUUAUCGCUGAAGGAUCGGCCCGCGUCUGAUUAGCUAGUUGGUGGGGUAAUGGCCCACCAAGGCGACGAUCAGUAGCUGGUCUGAGAGGAUGAUCAGCCACAUUGGGACUGAGACAUGGCCCAAACUCCUACGGGAGGCAGCAGUGGGGAAUAUUGGACAAUGGGCGCAAGCCUGAUCCAGCCAUGCCGCGUGAGUGAUGAAGGCCUUAGGGUUGUAAAGCUCUUUCGUCCGGGACGAUAAUGACGGUACCGGAAGAAGAAGCCCCGGCUAACUUCGUGCCAGCCGCCGCAGUAACAC